UACGUAGGGUGCGAGCGUUAAUCGGAAUUACUGGGCGUAAAGGGAGCGUAGGCGGAUAGUUUAGUCAGAGGUGAAAGCCCAGGGCUCAACCUUGGAAUUGCCUUUGAUACUGGCUAUCUUGAGUACGGAAGAGGUAUGUGGAACUCCGAGUGUAGAGGUGAAAUUCGUAGAUAUUCGGAAGAACACCAGUGGCGAAGGCGACAUACUGGUCCGUUACUGACGCUGAGGCUCGAAAGCGUGGGGAGCAAACAGG
rnacentral:rRNA from 1 species